GUGAUGUGUGCUACUUUGUUUCCUUAUCUUUUUGUGUGAGAACUAUUGUUUUUGAACCUUUUUCUCUCUUCCCCUUCCUUUCUACAAUUAUCCCUCAUCUGGAUCUAGGUAAGCCAUUACCAUUCAGGGUUUCAACAAUAUUUUUGUUAUCAAAACCAAACUCCAUAUUUCGAAAACAACAAUAUAAGGCUAUUUACAUGGAUUUUUAAAUCGAGAAAGCUUUCGCCAUUAAGACGUCUUUGUUUACCUUUAUGCUAUGAGAGAUAAUCGCGAGAGCUUCACCUUUUCUGCUAUACCUUGGUGUAUCAGUGUUAUCAUGAUGUUUGUGGCUCUCUGUGUUAGUGUUGCACAUCUUAUCCUUGGCUUUUCUAGGUGAAGCAUUGUGUUGAUCAUUAUUGAUGGGGAGCAAUCCUCAUAUUAUUUUGAUAGUGAUACCUAUUUUGGCGAAUGUGGCGGUCAUUAUCCUUGUUCUGAUGUUGAGAAAUUGGGUUAUUUAGUGUGAUAUUUCCCCAUGGGGGAAACUUUGUUCACGACAUGCACGUGUAAUACAAAGGAGGAGUGAAACCAAUGUAGAAGGGAAAGAAUAUGAUAAGUGGAGUUUUUUCGAGGAAGUUAGCUUAGUUAAAGACUUGGUUUAUGAUGGAUUUAGACUUUGGAAAAAGAUAUUAGGACUUCAUGAAGGGUUUGUUCACUUCAUUGAUGAUGUAGAAGCUGAAAAAAAUUCUAAUCACAACCUUGGUAGUAAUGUUGAUGGGCAUAUAUGGGUAGAACAUGGUGUUGAAGACAUGAUAGCAAUGUGUUAAAGCCUGAUAUUAAGUAAUUUAGUUAAUGUAAUGAUGAUUAUAUCACUGAUGACGAUGAUGGGGGAAUAAGAUUUGAUGAUACCAAACUAUGGUGUAAAAAUUCCUUUAGUUUUUAGCUAAGUGUGAUGUGUUGAUGAACAACCUUAGUGAGUCAUUUAAUAAUAAAAUUCUACAAGUUAGAGACAAACCUGACAAUGUGUGAGUGGAUUAGGAACUAUAUAAUAAAUAGGGUUGCUAACAAUUUGGUUAAGCUUGACAAAUGGAAAAACAAUGUCAUGCCUAUACCUAGGAAAAAAUUAGAUAAGGAAAUUUUGUUGAGUGGUCAAUGGCUGCCAACAUGGAGUAAGGGUGAGUUAUGGCAAGUUCAUCAUACAUAUAAUGGACUUUAGUUAGUAGUUAAUCUUGGGGAAAAAUUAUAUGUGUUGCUUUUGGGACCUAGUGGGGAUACCUUGUAUACAUGUUGUGUCUGCUAUGUAGUAUCAAAAUUUGAACCAUGAAUCAUAUGUUGACCCAUGUUACACGAGGGAGGCUUAUAAAACCUACUAUGAAAACAAUGUCAGUCCAAUCAAUGGUAUGGACACAUGGCCAAAUAUGGACAUUGAGGACAUGUUGCCACCUCAGUAUAAGAAGGGUCCAUGUAAGCCUAAGAAAUUGAGGUUUAUAGAGCAUGAUGAAUCUGGGUCUAGGAUGAGCAGGCAUGGUGUAGCAUAUAGAUGCACAAAGUAUGACAAAUUUGGUAAUAAUUCAAGGAAAUGUCAUAGCAAAGAACAUGAUCUUAAUGCAUUGAAAAGAAAGAAGAGAACACCAAGGACCAAGGCCUUUGCAAAUGAUGCUGAAAUUGAAGGGGUGUCUAAGAUAAAUGCUCCUGAAAGUGUGCAUGGAAUAAAUGACCCAAAUUUAGAUGCACAGCUUAAAGAGAGGAUGACAUAUUUUGAACACACAACUGAUGUUGCACAAAUAGAGAAGGCAUAAUCUCAAGUGUGCAAUACCACCCAUGAAUGUACACUAAUAUAGCAUACACAAGAAGACGAAGUUGUCCAAGCAAUUCCUCAAGAAGUUGUCCAAGAAGUUUCUCAAGAAGUUGACAAAAUAGUUGAGAAGAAGAAAAAAGUUGCCAAAGUAGCUGAGAAGAAGAAACAAGUUACUAAAGUAGUUGAGAAGAAGAAACAAGUUUUUGAGGAAGUUAAGAAGAAUAAAUAAGUUACCAAGGAAUUUGAGAAGAAGAACAAAAUUGGUGUGAAUAAUACACAGGCACCUAAGAGAAUUAGUGAUAGGUUGGAAUCUAUUUGGAGGUCUAAACAUAAUGUUGGGCCUGGUUCAACUUCAGAUGCAUCAUUUGUAGUUGAUGAGGAACCUUCUAUGAAGAAAAUGAGGCCAUGGGAGGAAAUUUCAAGGAGAAUGACUCAGUAAUGCUUAUUAUUAGGUAGUUUGUAACUUAUUAGGAGAAUGACUCAAUAAUGCUUAUCUAAGAAACAUUUAUUUUGUAACUUCUAUUUUAUAUACAAUAUCUUCUACUUUUGGGAACAUCUUUGUAAUACAAACUAGAUGCACAUUUUGGAUCAACAUUUAAUGAUUUUGUAACUUAUAUGUUAUGCACAA